rnacentral:rRNA from 1 species
UACGUAGGGGGCGAGCGUUAUCCGAAGUUACUGGGCGUAAAGCGCGCGUAGGCAGGCUAUUAAGUCGGAUGUGAAAUCUCCACGGCUCAACCGGGAAAUUGCAUCCGAAACUGGUAGCCUUGAGGUAUGGAGAGGGAAGUGGAAUUCCUGGUGUAGCGGUGAAAUGCGUAGAUAUCAGGAGGAACACCCGUGGCGAAGGCGGCUUCCUGGCCAUAUCCUGACGCUGAGGUGCGAAAGCCAGGGGAGCGAACGGG